rnacentral:rRNA from 1 species
GGGUUGUGAGGUUAAGCGACUAAGCGUACACGGUGGAUGCCCUGGCAGUCAGAGGCGAUGAAGGACGUGCUAAUCUGCGAAAAGCGUCGGUAAGGUGAUAUGAACCGUUAUAACCGGCGAUGUCCGAAUGGGGAAACCCAGUGCAAUUCGUUGCACUAUCGUUAACUGAAUACAUAGGUUAACGAGGCGAACCGGGGGAACUGAAACAUCUAAGUACCCCGAGGAAAAGAAAUCAACCGAGAUUCCCCCAGUAGCGGCGAGCGAACGGGGAGCAGCCCAGAGUCUGAAUCAGCUUGUGUGUUAGUGGAACGGUCUGGAAAGUCCGACGGUACAGGGUGAUAGUCCCGUACACCAAAAUGCACAGGCUGUGAACUCGAAGAGUAGGGCGGGACACGUGGUAUCCUGUCUGAAUAUGGGGGGACCAUCCUCCAAGGCUAAAUACUCCUGACUGACCGAUAGUGAACCAGUACCGUGAGGGAAAGGCGAAAAGAACCCCGGCGAGGGGAGUGAAAAAGAACCUGAAACCGUGUACGUACAAGCAGUGGGAGCACCUUCGGGUGUGACUGCGUACCUUUUGUAUAAUGGGUCAGCGACUUAUAUUCUGUAGCAAGGUUAACCGUAUAGGGGAGCCGCAGGGAAACCGAGUCUUAACUGGGCGUUAAGUUGCAGGGUAUAGACCCGAAACCCGGUGAUCUAGCCAUGGGCAGGUUGAAGGUUGGGUAACACUAACUGGAGGACCGAACCGACUAAUGUUGAAAAAUUAGCGGAUGACUUGUGGCUGGGGGUGAAAGGCCAAUCAAACCGGGAGAUAGCUGGUUCUCCCCGAAAGCUAUUUAGGUAGCGCCUCGUGAAUUCAUCUUCGGGGGUAGAGCACUGUUUCGGCUAGGGGGUCAUCCCGACUUACCAACCCGAUGCAAACUACGAAUACCGAAGAAUGUUAUCACGGGAGACACACGGCGGGUGCUAACGUCCGUCGUGAAGAGGGAAACAACCCAGACCGCCAGCUAAGGUCCCAAAGUCAUGGUUAAGUGGGAAACGAUGUGGGAAGGCACAGACAGCCAGGAUGUUGGCUUAGAAGCAGCCAUCAUUUAAAGAAAGCGUAAUAGCUCACUGGUCGAGUCGGCCUGCGCGGAAGAUGUAACGGGGCUAAACCAUGCACCGAAGCUGCGGCAGCGACACUAUGUGUUGUUGGGUAGGGGAGCGUUCUGUAAGCCUGCGAAGGUGACCUGUGAGGGUUGCUGGAGGUAUCAGAAGUGCGAAUGCUGACAUAAGUAACGAUAAAGCGGGUGAAAAGCCCGCUCGCCGGAAGACCAAGGGUUCCUGUCCAACGUUAAUCGGGGCAGGGUGAGUCGACCCCUAAGGCGAGGCCGAAAGGCGUAGUCGAUGGGAAACAGGUUAAUAUUCCUGUACUUGGUGUUACUGCGAAGGGGGGACGGAGAAGGCUAUGUUAGCCGGGCGACGGUUGUCCCGGUUUAAGCAUGUAGGCUGAUUGUCCAGGCAAAUCCGGAUAAUCAAGGCUGAGGUGUGAUGACGAGGCACUACGGUGCUGAAGUAACAAAUGCCCUGCUUCCAGGAAAAGCCUCUAAGCAUCAGGUAACAUCAAAUCGUACCCCAAACCGACACAGGUGGUCAGGUAGAGAAUACCAAGGCGCUUGAGAGAACUCGGGUGAAGGAACUAGGCAAAAUGGUGCCGUAACUUCGGGAGAAGGCACGCUGGUGUGUAGGUGAAGCCCCUGCGGGUGGAGCUGAGACCAGUCGAAGAUACCAGCUGGCUGCAACUGUUUAUUAAAAACACAGCACUGUGCAAACACGAAAGUGGACGUAUACGGUGUGACGCCUGCCCGGUGCCGGAAGGUUAAUUGAUGGGGUUAUCCGUAAGGAGAAGCUCUUGAUCGAAGCCCCGGUAAACGGCGGCCGUAACUAUAACGGUCCUAAGGUAGCGAAAUUCCUUGUCGGGUAAGUUCCGACCUGCACGAAUGGCGUAAUGAUGGCCAGGCUGUCUCCACCCGAGACUCAGUGAAAUUGAACUCGCUGUGAAGAUGCAGUGUACCCGCGGCAAGACGGAAAGACCCCGUGAACCUUUACUAUAGCUUGACACUGAACAUUGAGCCUUGAUGUGUAGGAUAGGUGGGAGGCUUUGAAGCGUGGACGCCAGUCUGCGUGGAGCCAACCUUGAAAUACCACCCUUUAAUGUUUGAUGUUCUAACGUUGGCCCCUUACCGGGGUUGCGGACAGUGUCUGGUGGGUAGUUUGACUGGGGCGGUCUCCUCCCAAAGCGUAACGGAGGAGCACGAAGGUUAGCUAAUCCUGGUCGGACAUCAGGAGGUUAGUGCAAUGGCAUAAGCUAGCUUGACUGCGAGCGUGACGGCGCGAGCAGGUGCGAAAGCAGGUCAUAGUGAUCCGGUGGUUCUGAAUGGAAGGGCCAUCGCUCAACGGAUAAAAGGUACUCCGGGGAUAACAGGCUGAUACCGCCCAAGAGUUCAUAUCGACGGCGGUGUUUGGCACCUCGAUGUCGGCUCAUCACAUCCUGGGGCUGAAGUAGGUCCCAAGGGUAUGGCUGUUCGCCAUUUAAAGUGGUACGCGAGCUGGGUUUAGAACGUCGUGAGACAGUUCGGUCCCUAUCUGCCGUGGGCGCUGGAGAAUUGAGGGGGGCUGCUCCUAGUACGAGAGGACCGGAGUGGACGCAUCACUGGUGUUCGGGUUGUCAUGCCAAUGGCACUGCCCGGUAGCUAAAUGCGGAAGAGAUAAGUGCUGAAAGCAUCUAAGCACGAAACUUGCCCCGAGAUGAGUUCUCCCUGAGACUUUAAGUCUCCUGAAGGAACGUUGAAGACGACGACGUUGAUAGGCCGGGUGUGUAAGCGCAGCGAUGCGUUGAGCUAACCGGUACUAAUGAACCGUGAGGCUUAACCUUACAACGCCGAAG